rnacentral:rRNA from 1 species
UACAGAGGGGGCAAGCGUUGUUCGGAAUUACUGGGCGUAAAGGGUUCGUAGGUGGCCGGCUAAGUCAGACGUGAAAUCCCUCAGCUUAACUGGGGAACUGCGUCUGAAACUGAUCGGCUUGAGUGCAGGAGAGGAACGCGGAAUUCCAGGUGUAGCGGUGAAAUGCGUAGAUAUCUGGAGGAACACCGGUGGCGAAGGCGGCGUUCUGGACUGCAACUGACACUGAGGAACGAAAGCCAGGGGAGCAAACGGG